rnacentral:lncRNA from 1 species
AGAUUCUUGUGUGAGACCUAUAGAAUAGCCACCUUUACCCAUUUAAUGAUCCAAAGCCCUCGUUCCUAAGUUUGAUUUGUCCUAUUAAAUUAGGGUUCUCAAUCAAGGCAACCAUAAAUCUAGAUCCUAUCUAAAUCAUAUUGCGGGUUGAGUGAUUUGACUAUCCAAGAGAAUUUACUAAAAGUCAACCUUUAAUUCCUCUUCUUUAAG